AGUCUGUAAUAGGCGGUGGAGGUGACAGGGUGGCAGAGAUAGGCCCCUGUGACCUCAGGCCCCUCUCGGGCGGUCUGCAACAGGCGAGUGUCCACAGCACCUGCAGAAGAUCUCGGGGCCCUGGGUGGACCUCAGAGAGGCCUCCCAUUCGACUCCAGCUCUGGCUGCUCUCCUGGCCAGGACACCGCCUGUUCCCAGAACACCGCCUGCCCCAGAGGCCGUUCACCCUGGCCGGUCAGGCUGGGCCAGAGGGCAGGGGCCCAGCCCAGAAGCCAGGGGUGAAGAAAGAAAGCUGCCAGCUGGACGGCCCCACCGGGCCCCUCGGGCUGCAGGAGGCGGAUGCUGUGGGUGCUCAGAGAUGCGGGUCUGAAGAUGCCUGGAGAUCUCCUGGGACAACCUUGCAAUAACUCACGGGCUGCUAACGAAGCAGGCUUGACCCGUCUGUCUCUGUGUGCGAGCAUCCGUCAGCAAAAAACCUGGAUCUGAGUGGCAUCAAGCUGACCACCUAGAGUCCUGAUCUCAUCCCAGUUCUGCAGGAGAACGUUGCAGGGAUUCUCUAGAAACUGCACUUGGAGCCAUGUGGCAUCAAGGACCCCCACCAGGAGGCCAUCCUGCCUGCCCUGAGCCGCUGCUCCCAGCUCAGGUCCACCAGCCUAGGUGGGAACCUCCUCUCCACGGUCGUGAUGGAGAAGCUGCUGAGUCACACAGCUGGGCUGCCCCGCUGAAAGGAUGAGUUUUAUCCCGGCCCCCGGCAGAGUCAGAGCUCUAGAGGACCUCGGCCUGGGGAUACUUGCCCAGCUGCAGGAGGAGCUGAUCGAGCUGAUGAGGGGCUUUGGAGGUCCAGGGCCAUCUGGCUUUGCUCCAGCCCGCGUCCUCGCUGGGGCAGUAAGACGUUCUAUCACGAGGAGUCGUUCUAUAUGAUUGCCGUCCACCUGUGUCGUUGGGUGUAUCGGUCCAAAGCACUUCUGGGCACUUGGGUUCUGAAAUCCAGGUCGGGCACCAUGUCAAGGGAACACAGACCCAUGAUAAAUGGCGGGGACCCUGGCAUGAGUGUUUCUCAUGGUUCCCCUGGUGCUCCCAUUAGUCUCAGCUUCCGGGCAUCGUGUGUCCCGGGAGAGGGUCUUGACAAGGUCCCCAGUUCUGGAAGGUGUCGUCCACUUGGCCAAAGAGUGUUACCCUCUCAUCUUCACCAACCUGUGCCUGUCAUGAGUGGGUGGUUGUCCUAUGUGAGUCAAUCUACUUGUGGCCAGGAGAGAGACCCCCCCCCAAAAAAAAUACUCAAAUAGUGUAGUCAGGGAGUUCCUGCUGUGGCUCAGCGGUUAAUGAACCUGACUACCACAGCCACACCAGAUCCGAGCCGCACCUGCAACCUAUGCCACAGCUUGCUUGCAGCCAUGCUGGAUCCUUAACCACCCACUGAGAGUGAGACCAGGGGUGGAACCCACAUCCCAACAGACACUAUGUUGGGUUCUUCACCCACUGAGCCACAAGGGAACUCCUUGCAUAGCAUUUUUCCUUCUAACCCAUCGGGAUGGAUAACAAAACACUUGCUUUAUGCUACUGAUAACUCGGAGUCAACUCAACUUUUUCUCAGUUCCAUACUCUUCAUUCAACCAACAGCACAUGGUAUCGAAAAAUAUUCACUAUUCACCAUUGAAAAAUACCUGUAAGUGCACACGAUCAGCUGAAGACUCAUCUAUAGACAGAUCAAUACAUAGAUCGACCUUAGAAAGGAGUGAUAACGAGAAGAAGCUUGCACAGUUACAGAUGCCAAGGAGUCCCACAGUCCACGCUCUGUAGGGUCGAGAACCAGCAAAGCCAUUGUAGAACUCAGUUCAAGGUUUAAACCUGAAAACCAGGAGAACUGAGGAAACCCCAAGUCCAAGGCCAAAGGCCUGAGAACCAGGACACCACUGGUGUCAGUCCGGAGUCGCAGCUGUCAAGAGCCAGAAGCUCCAAUGUUCCUGGGUGAGAAGAGGUAAAGGGAGGAAAGAUGCAGUCUUUCCAAUUCAGGCCCCAAAGAGACCGGACGAUGCCCAUCUGCCGUGGUGAGGGCGGGCUCUUCAUUCAGUCCCCAGUCAACCCGUAAUCGCCUCUAGAAACACCAUCCCAGAAACACUCAGAAUUGGAGUUCCCACUGUGGCUCCGCGGUAAUGAACCUGGCUAAUACCCAUGAGGAUGUGGGUUCAAUCCCUAGCCCCACUCAGUGGGUUAAGGAUGCUGCGUUGCCGUGGCUGUGGUGUAGGUCACAGAUGCAGCUUGGAUCCCGAGUUGCUGUGGCUGUGGUGUAGCCUGGGAACUUCGACCCCUAGACUGGGAACUUCCAUAUGCUGGGAACUUCCUUAUGCUGGCCCUAAAAAGCAAAAAAAAAAAAAAAAAAAAAAAAAA
rnacentral:lncRNA from 1 species